AGAUCUACUUGGGGCAUCAUCCUGCAGCAAUAGGAAUAUCACCUUGUGACAUUGCCUCUCGUCCUCCCUAGUCUCCUGUCUCAUGCCGAUCCACCUCCAUCUGGAGCUCCAUCUCACUCUGAGCUCUGCCUGACUCUUGAAGCUCCACCUCGCACUGGGCUCUCCGUCAGGUAAUAAUGUCAUCUCCUCCCCUUCUUCUCCUCCAGAAUAAUCCUAUCGCUGCGUAGCAAAUUCAGGAUUCCUCCACCAGCUACCGUCUUGUAGUCUCUCGAAUCCAGUCUACUUAGUGAGAUAAGAUUUUAUCUAGAAAUUGGAUAUGUAUC
rnacentral:lncRNA from 1 species